rnacentral:rRNA from 1 species
AACGAACGCUGGCGGCAGGCUUAACACAUGCAAGUCGAACGAUGAAACCUAGCUUGCUAGGUCGAUUAGUGGCGAACGGGUGAGUAACACGUGACUAACCUGCCCCUUUCUCUGGGAUAACGCUUCGAAAGGAGUGCUAAUACCGGAUACUCACAUCGAGGCACAUGCCUUGAUGUGGAAAGUUUUUCGGAAAGGGAUGGAGUCGCGGCCUAUCAGCUUGUUGGUGAGGUAACGGCUCACCAAGGCGACGACGGGUAGCCGGCCUGAGAGGGCGACCGGACAAACUGGGACUGAGACACGGCCCAGACCCCUACGGGAGGCAGCAGUGGGGAAGAUUGCACAAUGGGCGCAAGCCUGAUGCAGCGACGCCGCGUGAGGGAUGAAGGUCUUCGGAUUGUAAACCUCUUUCAGUAGGGACGAAGCGAAAGUGACGGUACCUAAAGAAGAAGCACCGGCUAACUACGUGCCAGCCGCCGCAGUAA